CAGCAGCCGCGGGAAUACGGAGGGAGCUAGCGUUGUUCGGAAUUACUGGGCGUAAAGCGCGCGUAGGCGGUUACUCAAGUCAGAGGUGAAAGCCCGGGGCUCAACCCCGGAACUGCCUUUGAAACUAGGUGACUAGAAUCUUGGAGAGGUCAGUGGAAUUCCGAGUGUAGAGGUGAAAUUCGUAGAUAUUCGGAAGAACACCAGUGGCGAAGGCGACUGACUGGACAAGUAUUGACGCUGAGGUGCGAAAGCGUGGGGAGCAAACAGGAUUAGAUACCCCCGUAGUCCCUGUCUCUUAUAU
rnacentral:rRNA from 1 species